rnacentral:lncRNA from 1 species
ACAUAAAUUAAUAUAUUUAUUAGUAUAUUAAAAAUUAAUUUAAUUCUUGCCUUUUGGUCCUUUCUUUGAUGUGAGACCCACACUCUUGAGCUCUAUAUAUAGUUACAAUAGUAUGUGCAUAGGCAUCAAAACCAGACCUAAUAUUCUGUCAUGGCUAAGUUCAAGAAUCCAUAUUCUGUCAUGUGCAACACUGUUCCUCCCUUUGCAUUUGCAGUUUUGCACCAGAUGAAUAGGGUAAUGGUCAAUUGCUCUUCUUUGUUGAUUUACACUCUCUUAUAUGUUUUCAUCUUAAUAGUUUCAUUUUGGCUCUAAUUUACUUGGUCCAGAACUAUGGUAAGAUUGGUCAAGAUGUGGUGGAAUACCUACAGCUCCCAGAUGAUGGAGAAUUUCUCCUUACUAACCCAUUGGGUGUGAAUUUUAGUGGAACUUACAAUUGAAUAUUAAAGGUACAUAAAUUAAUAUAUUUAUUAGUAUAUUAAAAAUUAAUUUAAUUCUUGCCUUUUGGUCCUUUCUUUGAUGUGAGACCCACACUCUUGAGCUCUAUAUAUAGUUACAAUAGUAUGUGCAUAGGCAUCAAAACCAGACCUAAUAUUCUGUCAUGGCUAAGUUCAAGAAUCCAUAUUAUGUCAUGUGCAACACUGUUCCUCCCUUUGCAUUUGCAGUUUUGCACCAGAUGAAUAGGGUAAUGGUCAAUUGCUCUUCUUUGUUGAUUUACACUCUCUUAUAUAUUUUCAUCUUAAUAGUUUCAUUUUGGCUCUAAUUUACUUGGUCCAGAACUAUGGUAAGAUUGGUCAAGAUGUGGUGGAAUAC